AAGAUCAUACUUCACAGGAUCAUUUCUGUAGUAUAUCUUCACAUACUCUACAUUCAAUUGUGGAGUCGUUGCAACCAUGAUGACGAGAUGUAGCGUUGCGAUCUGAGCGUGAGAAGGAUUGAUUUUAAGGCGUUAGCCUUGAAUGAUAUCAUCGAUGAUCGUUCACCUUAUCCUUUUAGGAUUUGGCUACGGUCGUGACGCAAUCUGAGUGGU